AGCAGCCGCGGUAAUUCCAGCUCCAAUAGCGUAUAUUAAAGUUGUUGCAGUUAAAAAGCUCGUAGUUGAAUUUCGGGAUCAAGGAAUCGGUCAUGCCUUGGUAUGUACCGGUUUUAUUGGUUCUCACCUUCUAAAGAACCAUAAUGUCAUUUAUUUGAUGUUAUGGGGAAUUAGGACUGUUACCUUGAAAAAAUUAGAGUGUUUAAAGCAAGCUUACGCUUGAAUACAUUAGCAUGGAAUAAUGAAAUAGGACAUCAGAUUCUAUUUUGUUGGUUUCUAGGAUCGAUGUAAUGAUUAAUAGGGAUAGUUGGGGGCAUUAGUAUUCAAUUGUCAGAGGUGAAAUUCUUGGAUUUAUUGAAGACUAACUACUGCGAAAGCAUUUGCCAAGGAUGUUUUCAUUAAUCAAGAACGAAAGUUAGGGGAUCGAAGACGAUCAGAUACCGUCGUAGU
rnacentral:rRNA from 1 species